GCGGUGAAAUGCUUAGAUAUCACGAAGAACUCCGAUUGCGAAGGCAGCCUGCUAAGCUGCAACUGACAUUGAGGCUCGAAAGUGUGGGUAUCAAACAGGAUUAGAUACCCUGGUAGUCCACACGGUAAACGAUGAAUACUCGCUGUUUGCGAUAUACUGCAAGCGGCCAAGCGAAAGCGUUAAGUAUUCCACCUGGGGAGUACGCCGGCAACGGUGAAACUCAAAGGAAUUGACGGGGGCCCGCACAAGCGGAGGAACAUGUGGUUUAAUUCGAUGAUACGCGAGGAACCUUACCCGGGCUUAAAUUGCAGAUGAAUUACGGUGAAAGCCGUAAGCCGCAAGGCAUCUGUGAAGGUGCUGCAUGGUUGUCGUCAGCUCGUGCCGUGAGGUGUCGGCUUAAGUGCCAUAACGAGCGCAACCCUUGUUGUCAGUUACUAACAGGUUUCGCUGAGGACUCUGACAAGACUGCCAUCGUAAGAUGUGAGGAAGGUGGGGAUGACGUCAAAUCAGCACGGCCCUUACGUCCGGGGCUACACACGUGUUACAAUGGGGGGUACAGAGGGCCGCUACCACGCGAGUGGAUGCCAAUCCCAAAAACCUCUCUCAGUUCGGACUGGAGUCUGCAACCCGACUCCACGAAGCUGGAUUCGCUAGUAAUCGCGCAUCAGCCACGGCGCGGUGAAUACGUCCCCGGGCCUUGUACACACCGCCCGUCAAGCCAUGGGAGCCGGGGGUACCUGAAGUGCGUAAACGGGAGGAGCGCCCUAGGGUAAAACUGGUGACUGGG
rnacentral:rRNA from 1 species